GGAGGGUUCGCCUAAUGGUAUGGCACCGCCUUGGAAAGGCGGCGGGAGCAAUCCUUUAGAGGUUCGACUCCUCUACCCUCCGCCA
rnacentral:tRNA from 1 species